AUUGAACUCUGGCGGCAGGCCUAACACAUGCAAGUCGAGCGAGCGGCGGACGGGGGAGUAAUGUAUGGGGACUGCCCGAUAGAGGGGGAUAACUAUUGGAAACGGUGGCUAAUACCGCAUACGGUCGGAUAACCCAUAUGGGAUUAGCUAGUAGGUAAGGUAAUGGCUUACCUAGGCGACGAUCCCUAGCUGGUCUGAGAGGAUGAUCAGCCACACUGGGACUGAGACACGGCCCAGACUCCUACGGAGGCAGCAGUGGGGAAUAUUGCACAAUGGGCGCAAGCCUGAUGCAGCCAUGCCGCGUGUAUGAAGAAGGCCCUAGGGUUGUAAAGUACUUUCAGUCGGGAGGCGUUACCGACAGAAGAAGCACCGGCUAACUCCGUGCCAGCCGCCGCGGUAAUUC
rnacentral:rRNA from 1 species